rnacentral:rRNA from 1 species
UACGGAGGAUCCGAGCGUUAUCCGGAUUUAUUGGGUUUAAAGGGUGCGCAGGCGGGAGAUUAAGUCGGCGGUGAAAUUUUGCAGCUUAACUGUAAAAGUGCCUUCGAAACUGGUUUCCUUGAGUGUAGAUGAAGUAGGCGGAAUUUGUGGUGUAGCGGUGAAAUGCAUAGAUAUCACGAGGAACUCCGAUUGCGCAGGCAGCUUACUAAACUACUACUGACGCUCAGGCACGAAGGCGUGGGGAUCAAACAGGAUUAGAUACCCCCGUAGUCCCUGA